UACGGGGGGGGCAAGCGUUGUUCGGAAUUACUGGGCGUAAAGGGCGUGUAGGUGGCCAACUAAGUCAGACGUGAAAUCCCUCGGCUCAACCGAGGAACUGCGUCUGAGACUGCGGGGCUUGAAUCCGGGAGAGGGAUGCGGAAUUCCAGGUGUAGCGGUGAAAUGCGUAGAUAUCUGGAGGAACACCGGUGGCGAAGGCGGCAUCCUGGACCGGUAUUGACACUGAGGAGCGAAAGCCAGGGGAGCAAACGGG
rnacentral:rRNA from 1 species